GGUGUUGUGGCUCAGUGGUAAAGCGCUUGCCUAGCACACAUGAGACACUGGGUUCCAUCCUCAGCACCA
rnacentral:tRNA from 1 species